rnacentral:rRNA from 1 species
AUUGAACGCUGGCGGCAGGCCUAACACAUGCAAGUCGAACGAGUGGCGGACGGGUGAGUAAUGGCUGGGAAACUGUCUGCUGGAGGGGGAUAACUACUGGAAAAGGUAGCUAAUACCGCAUACCAUCGGAUGUGCCCAGAUGGGAUUAGCUAGUAGGUGGGGUAAAGGCUGACCUAGGCGACGCUCCCUAGCUGGUCUGAGAGGAUGACCAGCCACACUGGAACGGAAACACGGUCCGGCCUCCUACGGAAGGCAGCAUUGGGGAAUAUUGCACAAUGGGCGCAAGCCUGAUGCGGCCAGGCCGCGUGUAUGAAGAAGGCCUUCGGGUUGUAAAGUACUUUCAGCGGGGAGGCGUUACCCGCAGAAGAAGCACCGGCUAACUCCGUGCCAGCAGCCGCGGUAAUAC